CGCGUAGGUGGUUAAUUAAGUCAAAUGUGAAAUCCCCGAGCUUAACUUGGGAAUUGCAUUCGAUACUGGUUAGCUAGAGUAUGGGAGAGGAUGCUAGAAUUCCAGGUGUAGCGGUGAAAUGCGUAGAGAUCUGGAGGAAUACCGAUGGCGAAGGCAGCCAUCUGGCCUAAUACUGACACUGAGGUGCGAAAGCAUGGGAGCAAACA
rnacentral:rRNA from 1 species